GAUUGCCUUGGCAAAUCAUAUACUAAAAUUGGAACAAAACAGAGAAGAUUAGCAUUGCCGCUGUGCAAGGAUGACACAGGUUUGUGAAGCAUCCCUCACUAGA